UUAAGUUCAGCGGGUAUCCCUACCUGAUCCGAGGUCAAAAUUGUGAAGAUAGCUUCUGGGAGCCAGCACGAGGACCUCGAGUUACGCGUUUCUGCUGCGCUCGAGAGCCAAUGUACCGGCCGCCAAUAAUGUUGAGGCGAGUCCGCGGUGAAGCGGACAGUCACCCAACACAAGCUGAGCUUGAAGGUUUAAAUGACGCU
rnacentral:misc_RNA from 1 species